rnacentral:sRNA from 1 species
UCGGUUUCCCGAUUCUGGUCCCCGGCCCCAGCAGCGCCUGCCCCUUCCCACCGGGGCCCCCCAUGAUGCCACCACCCUUCAUGCCCCCUCCAGGGAUCCCCCCACCCUUUCCUCCGAUGGGGCUACCCCCCAUGAGUCAGAGACCACCAGCUAUCCCCCCCAUGCCACCUGGCAUCCUGCCCCCAAUGCUUCCACCAAUGGGGGCGCCACCACCACUCACACAGAUACCAGGAAUGGUACCUCCAAUGAUGCCAGGAAUGCUGAUGCCAGCGGUGCCUGUCACCGCAGCGGUAAGCACUAGGGGCCAGCAGGUAGCAGGCUCUGCCCUGCAGUCCCGUGAGUCUGACUUGGAAUGCAGGACUAUGACCUCCGUUCUUUCCCUCUUCUCAUCGCAUCCACCCA